AUGGAGCAUCUUCCUGUCUGGGAGCACAACUGUUUGUUUCUUUGUUGUUUUUCUUUUUCAAUCCUGCUGACUGCAGGGGCAGCCACAGCUGCUCUGGGCAGGCUGUGCCAAGGUGUCCCUGCCCUCCCAGCCAGGAAUUCCCAAUUCCCAAUAUCCAUCCCUGCCUCUGGCAGUGGGAGCCAUUCCCUGUGUCCUGUCCCUCCAGGUCUUUAUCCAAAUCCCCUCUCCAGAAAUCCUCCCCACACCCAGGAGAGCAGACACAAAAUGUCCCUGUGCUUCCAGCAGGUAUCCAGCACUAAUAAUCAUCUUCCAAGAGGUAAAGUUGUGACCAAAAUAAAUCCAAGAGGUCAAGUUGUGACCAAAAUAAAUCCUGUGUUUUCCCUGGAAUGGGGACUGGGACCAGUAGGGCUGUGGGAACACAACCAUGGGGGGAUGCACCUAGAAACAAAAUUUACAGUAACUGAGUUGUGUAGGAGGCACAAGGAGGAGCAGCAGAGCUCUUGCCCAAUGGUGGCAGGGGGGGGGGGCUGCUGGUUCGGGUCCUGGUCUGGUUUGGAUCCUGGUCCUGGUUUGGAUCCUGGAACUUAUUUGGAUCCUGGUCCUGGUUUGGAUCCUAGUCAGGAAUUCCCAAUAUCCCAAUACCCAUCCCUGCCCUCUGGCAGUGGGAGCCAUUCCCUGUGUCCUGUCCCUCCAUCCCUUGUCCCCAGCCCCUCUCCAGCUCUCCUGGAGCCCCUUUAGGUCCUGGAAAGGGCUCUGGGCUCCUCCUGGAUCCUCCCCAUCUCCAGGGGGACAUUCCCAGCUCCCCAGCCUGGCUCCAGCCCUGGCGCAGCUCCAGGUCCCUCUGAGCCUGGCUCCAGCCCUGGAGCAGCUCCAGGUCCCUCUGAUGUCAGAGCCCAGGGCUGGGGCAGCUCUGCAGGUGGGGUCUCACCUGGGCAGGUACAGAGGGGCAGAACUGCCCCUUUCCUGCAGAUGCCAGACCCCAGGGGCACCUGGAGCCCCUGACCCAGUGCCAGCCCCACGCACUGCCCGGGUUUGGGGUGAAACCCUGGGGUUUAACCCCAGCACAGGGGCUGAGAUUGGGAGCUCUGGGAUCGGUUCAUCUCCUGCACGAUGAGUCCAGCACAGGCACAAGGGAUGGAGAACAAGGACAAGGAACCUGCCACAAACACUGCAGUUAGAGCAGGGAGCUGCUCCCUGCAUCCCCAAACCUCUGGAACAGUCACAGGCACUGAUGGGCUUGGUUUGGACUCCCAGAUUCAUGCAGAGCCAGGCAGGAUGAUGGUCCCUGGAUGCCUCCCAGGGCAGCUCAGUGCUCAGUUAAAAAGGGGCAGCUUUGUCUCCACUGGGAUCAGGCAGGGCUGCAAUCCCUCAGGGAUGGAGCCCCCUCACCCCUUCCUGCUCCCCAAAUCCCACAGAACCAGCACUGGAGCCUGGGGGAAAUAGAAAAGGUCCAGAACUCUCAGAGAGCAAAUCUCAGAUGGAGAAAUGCAGGAAUGCUGAAAUGCAAGGACAAGAAACAACAGGGCUGGGAGCUGGGUAGAGACAGGCUCAGGAAAAUAUGUUCAGCAAAACAGAAAUAUGUAAGGUUAAUAAUGAAGCUUUAUCCAUUGUUUUAAGCUAUUGCAAGCAAGGUUGUUCAAAUCAAGAUGUAACUGCAGUUUUAUUAACUGGCCUGAGCAAACCCUGGUCAGCUUUUAAUAUUCUGCUAUUAGCUUGAAAGUUGUUAAAGAGUUUGUGACAAAGAGAACUCGGUCUGCUGUGCCAGCAGCUGGAGCUGCUCCACCUCCCCUGCUUGGUUCUGUAAAAUGAGGCUGAUGGUUGUGAUAUAAAAUACAGUAAAAUAUUAUAUAUAUAAAUAUAAUAAAAAUUAUAUUUAUAUAAUAAAAGCUUCGAGACAUCUGCUCCAGCAUUCCUGUCCUUUUUGUGUAGAUAGAUACUUGUAAAUAUAAAAUAAGAGGAAAAAUAUCCCAGGAAAAACCCAGCAGGAGCUCAGGGAAAGGGGGCAGGAGGAGCCCCCAGCCCCUCCCCAGCCCCAGCACAGCUUUGCCCUCGAUGAAUUCCCAAUUCCUGCUGACAUUUUGGAUGACUCUCCUGGAAUGUCCCAGCGUUUUACCCACGCCAGGCCUCUCCCCCUCGCCAGGCCUCUCCCCCUUCUCCUGCCAGCCGCUUUUAUCAUCACUUAGCUCACGGCAGCCUCGGUUGUGUAACACACAGGGAGCUAAAGCAGCACUUUCCUCUUAAACCUCACCUCAAAAUCACCCCAAAAACCAGCACUGGGCUCAAAGCAAGGCCUGAACCACGACUGGUUCAUGUCACCCCUCAGCUGGGAGGGGAUGGGAUGGGAUGGGAUGGGAUGGGAUGGGAUGGGAUGGGAUGGGAUGGGAUGGGAUGGGAUGGGAUGGGAUGGGAUGGGAUG
rnacentral:lncRNA from 1 species